GAUGAACGCUGGCGGCGUGCCUAACACAUGCAAGUCGAACGAACAGACGACAGUUCUUGCACUUUCUCACGUUAGCGGCGGACGGGUGAGUAAUACGUGAGUAACCUUCCUAUUAGACUGGGAUAACUGCGGGAAACCCGAGUACAUACCGGAUAAUUUUUAGCUUCGCAUGUAUGGAUAGUGUUAGACGGUUCUGCUGUCUCUUAGAGUAUGAGCCUGUGUGUAUGGGCUAGUUGGGGAGGGAACGGGUCAGCAAGGCGACGAUACAUAGCCGACCUGAGAGGGUGAUCGGCCACACUGGAACGGAGACACGGCCCAGACUCCUACGGGAGGCAGCAGUAGGGAAUAUUACGCAAUGGACGAAAGUAUGACGGAGCAAUGCCGCGUGAGUGAAGAAGGUUUUCGGAUCGUAAAGCUCUGUUGUAGGGGAAGAACAAGUACGUUAGUAACUGAAGGUACAGUGACGGUACCUGAAGAAAAAGCACCGGCUAACUACGUG
rnacentral:rRNA from 1 species